CCUACGGGAGGCAGCAGUGGGGAAUAUUGGACAAUGGGGGCAACCCUGAUCCAGCAAUGCCGCGUGUGUGAAGAAGGCCUUCGGGUUGUAAAGCACUUUCAGUGGAGAAGAAAGGCUUAAGGUUAAUACCCUUAAGAGUUGACGUUAUCCACAGAAGAAGCACUGGCUAACUCUGUGCCAGCAGCCGCGGUAAU
rnacentral:rRNA from 1 species